rnacentral:rRNA from 1 species
AGCAGCCGCGGUAAAUUCCAGCUCCAAUAGCAUAUAUUAAAGUUGUUGCAGUUAAAAAGCUCGUAGUUGAAUUUCGGAAUCAGUACGCCGGUCAUGCUUCGGUAUGUACUAGUGUCACUGAUUCCUUCCUUCUGACGAACCGUCAUGCCAUUAAUUUAGUGUGACGGGGAAUCAGGACUGUUACUUUGAAAAAAUUAGAGUGUUUAAAGCAGGCUCGCGCUUGAAUACAUUAGCAUGGAAUAAUGAAAUAGGACGUUGAUCUUAUUUUGUUGGUUUCUUAGAUCGACGUAAUGAUUAAUAGGGAUAGUUGGGGGCAUUAGUAUUCAAUUGUUAGAGGUGAAAUUCUUGGAUUUAUUGAAGACUAACUACUGCGAAAGCAUUUGCCAAGGAUGUUUU